CACAAACACACACAGACACAGUCACAUACACACACACAGUCAGACACAUACACAGACACACACAGUCAGACACACACACACAGUCAGACACACACACACAGUCAGACACAAACACACACACAAACACACAGACACACAGUCACAUACACACACACACACAGUCAGACACACACACACACACACAGUCAGACACACACAUACACACACAGUCAGACACAAACACACACACAAACACACACAGUCACAUACACACACAGUCAGACACAUACACAGACACAAACACAG